rnacentral:rRNA from 1 species
UACGUAGGGGGCUAGCGUUGUCCGGAAUCAUUGGGCGUAAAGCGCGCGUAGGCGGCCCGGUAAGUCCGCUGUAAAAGUCCAGGGCUCAACCCUGGAAAGCCGGUGGAUACUGUCGGGCUUGAGUACGGAAGAGGCGAGUGGAAUUCCUGGUGUAGCGGUGAAAUGCGCAGAUAUCAGGAGGAACACCAAUUGCGAAGGCAGCUCGCUGGGACGUUACUGACGCUGAGACGCGAAAGCGUGGGGAGCAAACAGG